CCUACGGGAGGCAGCAGUGGGGAAUCUUGGGCAAUGGGCGCAAGCCUGACCCAGCAACGCCGCGUGAAGGAAGAAGGCUCUCGGGUUGUAAACUUCUUUUAUCAGGGACGAAGCAAGUGACGGUACCUGAUGAAUAAGCCACGGCUAACUACGUGACAGCAGCCGCGGUAAUACGUAGGGUGCAAGCGUUAUCCGGAUUUACUGGGUGUAAAGGGCGUGUAGGCGGGAUAGCAAGUCAGGUGGGAAAACCAUGGGGUCAACCUGUAGCCUGGUUUUGAAACUGUUUUUCUUGAGUGUUGGAGAGGAGGACGGAAUUCCUUGUGUAGCGGUGAAAUGCGUAGAUAUAAGGAGGAACACCAGUGGCGAAGGCGGUCUGCUGGACAGCAACUGACGCUGAGGCGCGAAAGCGUGGGGAGCAAACAGGAUUAGAUACCCCAGUAGUC
rnacentral:rRNA from 1 species